rnacentral:rRNA from 1 species
GACGAACGCUGGCGGCGUGCUUAACACAUGCAAGUCGAACGGAGUUGAGGAGCUUGCUUCUUAACUUAGUGGCGAACGGGUGAGUAACGCGUGAGGAACCUGCCUUUCAGUGGGGGACAACAGUUGGAAACGACUGCUAAUACCGCAUGAUACUAUUGAGCGGUAUCGCUUGAUAGUCAAAGAUUUAUUGCUGAAAGAUGGCCUCGCGUCUGAUUAGCUAGAUGGCGGGGUAACGGCCCACCAUGGCGACGAUCAGUAGCCGGUCUGAGAGGAUGAACGGCCACAUUGGGACUGAGAUACGGCCCAG